rnacentral:rRNA from 1 species
GACGAACGCUGGCGGCGUGCUUAACACAUGCAAGUCGAACGAUGAAGCUGUGCUUGCACAGUGGAUUAGUGGCGAACGGGUGAGUAACACGUGAGUAACCUGCCCUUCACUUUGGGAUAACUCCGAGAAAUCGGGGCUAAUACCGGAUAUGACUACUGGCCGCAUGGUUGGUGGUGGAAAGUUUUUCGGUGAGGGAUGGGCUCGCGGCCUAUCAGUUUGUUGGUGAGGUAGUGGCUCACCAAGGCGAUGACGGGUAGCCGGCCUGAGAGGGCGACCGGCCACACUGGGACUGAGACACGGCCCAGACUCCUACGGGAGGCAGCAGUGGGGAAUAUUGCACAAUGGGCGAAAGCCUGAUGCAGCGACGCCGCGUGGGGGAUGACGGCCUUCGGGUUGUAAACCUCUUUCAGCAAGGAAGAAGCGAAAGUGACGGUACUUGCAGAAGAAGCGCCGGCUAACUACGUGCCAGCAGCCGCGGUAAUACGUAGGGCGCAAGCGUUGUCCGGAAUUAUUGGGCGUAAAGAGCUUGUAGGUGGCUUGUCGCGUCUGCCGUGAAAACCCGAGGCUUAACCUUGGGCGUGCGGUGGGUACGGGCAGGCUAGAGUGCGGUAGGGGAGACUGGAAUUCCUGGUGUAGCGGUGAAAUGCGCAGAUAUCAGG